rnacentral:rRNA from 1 species
GACGAACGCUGGCGGCGUGCUUAACACAUGCAAGUCGAACGGAAAGACCCUGCUUUUGUGGGGUGCUCGAGUGGCGAACGGGUGAGUAACACGUGAGUAACCUGCCCUUGACUUUGGGAUAACUUCAGGAAACUGGGGCUAAUACCGGAUAGGAGCUCCUGCUGCAUGGUGGGGGUUGGAAAGUUUCGGCGGUUGGGGGUGGACUCGCGGCUUAUCAGCUUGUUGGUGGGGGAGUGGCUUACCAAGGCUCUGACGGGUAGCCGGCCUGAGAGGGUGACGGGCCACAUUGGGACAGAGAUACGGCCCAGACUCCUACGGGGGGCAGCAGUGGGGAAUAUUGCACAAUGGGCGGAAGCCUGAUGCAGCAACGCCGCGUGCGGGAUGACGGCCUUCGGGGUGUAAACCGUCUUCGCCUGUGACGAAGCGUGAGUGACGGUAAUGGGUAAAGAAGCACCGGCUAACUACGUG